GCUCCCAUAGUUAAACGGAUAGAACAACAGUUUGCGGAACUGUAAAUCCUGGUUCGAUUCCAGGUGGGGGCA
rnacentral:tRNA from 1 species